CAACACUUGAAAGACCAGGAUAUGGAGGCUUAGAGCAAUUAGUCACAUGUAAAGUUCACCUGAAGCGGAGUGGUAAUUCCUGUUCAUCAGAUCUCUUUGAUGCCAACAGCUUCCCAUUCAGUGAUAGGGUGGAUUGCUGGCUGGGCUACCUGUAGGCCUGCUGAUAAAAAGAUAGCUUCUGCUGGUGGCUGACUGUGGGUAAGAGUCAUUCGAGCAAAUUGCUCCCCGGAAGCACCAAUUCUCUGCAGUUUGUUCUAGGGAAGACUCCUUCCAGCGAGGCUGGCUGGGCAGGCCACACUUGCAAAGGCGAUGCUCUGAAAUUAGAGGUGAAAGAGGCACGCAUCCACAAAUCAAAAGUGACAUUCCUUGACCUGUGCUCCAAUUGGGGACUGUGAAGGACAUAAUAAGGAGAAACUCUGGAUGUUAAUUAUCAAAGAAAAGAGAUGACAGCACCACACUAACCAACAAGUGGCAUUUGGUUCUGGUUGCCGAGAUGAUGAGAUGGAUGGUACACGGUAUGCAUCAGACAAAGCCAGGUAGCUUGUCUGUGAACACAGUUGCUGCUCUGAAAGCAACAUAAAGCUUCCUGUUUCUCACCAUUCAGCAUUUUGGGAAAUAGCAUCACUUUGGAAGGUUGCCUGUUUGAGUGUCAAAGCCAUCUGUACCGUGCUCAGUUGACACCCUCUGUAAUGUAUGUAACCUCUCAUGUAUCUUGUAAACAUUAAAUUGAG
rnacentral:lncRNA from 1 species